GAUGAACGCUGGCGGCGUGCCUAAUACAUGCAAGUCGAGCGAACAGACGAGGAGCUUGCUCCUUUGACGUUAGCGGCGGACGGGUGAGUAACACGUGGGUAACCUACCUAUAAGACUGGGAUAACUUCGGGAAACCGGAGCUAAUACCGGAUAAUAUUUCGAACCGCAUGGUUCGAUAGUGAAAGAUGGCUUUGCUAUCACUUAUAGAUGGACCUGCGCCGCAUUAGCUAGUUGGUAAGGUAACGGCUUACCAAGGCAACGAUACGUAGCCGACCUGAGAGGGUGAUCGGCCACACUGGAACUGAGACACGGUCCAGACUCCUACGGGAGGCAGCAGUAGGGAAUCUUCCGCAAUGGGCGAAAGCCUGACGGAGCAACGCCGCGUGAGUGAUGAAGGUCUUCGGAUCGUAAAACUCUGUUAUUAGGGAAGAACAAACGUGUAAGUAACUGUGCACGUCUUGACGGUACCUAAUCAGAAAGCCACGGCUAACUACGUGCCAGCAGCCGCGGUAAUACGUAGGUGGCAAGCGUUAUCCGGAAUUAUUGGGCGUAAAGCGCGCGUAGGCGGUUUUUUAAGUCUGAUGUGAAAGCCCACGGCUCAACCGCGGAGGGUCAUUGGAAACUGGAAAACUUGAGUGCAGAAGAGGAAAGUGGAAUUCCAUGUGUAGCGGUGAAAUGCGCAGAGAUAUGGAGGAACACCAGUGGCGAAGGCGACUUUCUGGUCUGUAACUGACGCUGAUGUGCGAAAGCGUGGGGAUCAAACAGGAUUAGAUACCCUGGUAGUCCACGCCGUAAACGAUGAGUGCUAAGUGUUGGGGGGUUUCCGCCCCUUAGUGCUGCAGCUAACGCAUUAAGCACUCCGCCUGGGGAGUACGACCGCAAGGUUGAAACUCAAAGGAAUUGACGGGGACCCGCACAAGCGGUGGAGCAUGUGGUUUAAUUCGAAGCAACGCGAAGAACCUUACCAAAUCUUGACAUCCUUUGACCCUUCUAGAGAUAGAAGUUUCCCCUUCGGGGGACAAAGUGACAGGUGGUGCAUGGUUGUCGUCAGCUCGUGUCGUGAGAUGUUGGGUUAAGUCCCGCAACGAGCGCAACCCUUAAGCUUAGUUGCCAUCAUUAAGUUGGGCACUCUAAGUUGACUGCCGGUGACAAACCGGAGGAAGGUGGGGAUGACGUCAAAUCAUCAUGCCCCUUAUGAUUUGGGCUACACACGUGCUACAAUGGACAAUACAAAGGGCAGCGAAACCGCGAGGUCAAGCAAAUCCCAUAAAGUUGUUCUCAGUUCGGAUUGUAGUCUGCAACUCGACUACAUGAAGCUGGAAUCGCUAGUAAUCGUAGAUCAGCAUGCUACGGUGAAUACGUUCCCGGGUCU
rnacentral:rRNA from 1 species